rnacentral:misc_RNA from 1 species
GUAAAUGAACGUGAUAUGAAUUAAUUACCACUUACAAAACAACUUAAAAAGAAUUCCGUGUAAAUUCAUUACAUUUUAUUUGCGGAAAUAAUUCUUCUUCAACUAGAAAUUAAUUUUCCUGUACUGCUUUGAAGAACUACUUUCGAUUAACAGAUGAUAUUCUAUACAUUACACACUUUUUUUGGAAAUGUCCCAAACGCAUGUUUUUUAUUUUAUUUUAUUUUUUUUUUACUUCUGAACCAAAAAAUGGUUUGAAAAUUUUAUUUGUCGUUUUGUUCCUUUAAUUUGCCUAUAUUUAAUGUUACCAAAUGGUGUAACACUGUCAUUGUUGGUAUUGUAAGAAAACAAUAUUGUUACAAUAAAACAGAAACUUU